UAAGGGCCUAGAAGUUUUAGAGUGCGUCAUUGCGGCUGAGUGGUCUUCAUUGGAGUAGCAGGUUUAGGUUUUCUAAUUGGGCGAGCAGCGGGCCAACGUCUGGGAUGCGGGAGAUCCAGAUGUCCGGAAUCCUCUCGCUUCGAUGACCGCUGUGAUCAGAAGCAGAACGGCCGUCAUUUACGGAUUGCUCGUCUCUCCUCUCACCUUGGUUGCACGUCGCAAUGGAGCUAGUCGUAGUAUUUAAUUUUAUUUUUGACUCUG
rnacentral:sRNA from 1 species